rnacentral:sRNA from 1 species
CAGCGAAUCGAUUUUCAAAGAAGUUUAUGGCUAUAAUUUAAGGCCCGAGUUUUUCACAGUCUGCUGUUAACUAACUUUGCGCUUCUCUCACCCCUCAGUUGCCACCUUCCAGAGAAGAGGUACGAGAUGACAAGACAACCAUAAAGUGUGAAACCUCCCCGCCUUCCUCCCCAAGAGCCCUUCGGUUAGACCGGCUGCACAAAGGGGCGCUGCACACCGUCAGCCACGAGGACAUCAGGGACAUAAGGAACUCCACAGGCUCCCAGGACGGUCCCGUGAGCAACCCCAGCAGUAGCAACAGUAGCCAGGACUCGCUCCACAAAGCCCCAAAGAAGAAAGGAAUUAAGUCCUCCAUUGGCCGCUUGUUUGGCAAGAAAGAAAAGGGCCGACCUGGACAAACUGGCAAAGAAGCAUUAGGACAAGCUGGUGUUUCCGAGACGGAUAACUCAUCUCAGGAUGCCUUGGGACUUAGCAAAUUGGGGGGACAGGCUGAAAAAAAUCGUAAACUUCAAAAAAAGCAUGAAUUGCUGGAGGAAGCCCGGAGACAAGGUUUACCUUUUGCCCAAUGGGACGGGCCAACGGUUGUGGUCUGGCUAGA